GGGUGUGCGGUCCGGCAAUAGGAUCGGCAGGUCAAGCGUUGGUCGGGCCGCCAGCG
rnacentral:ncRNA from 21 species